UAGCUUCUGUGUUACUCAUAUCCAGUAGCU
rnacentral:piRNA from 1 species